GUAGGUGAACCUGCGGAAGGAUCAUUAUCAAAACAAUUACGUUAUCCACGUAACUAACAAACUGCGAACUGUAUCUAUCUGUACAUUUCUACAGAUUUUAUGUCUCACAAAAAAAGGGAUUACGUAUUGGCAAUUGCAUUGUCAGAUCGUUGGGUCACUCCAACGGGAGAUGCAGUUACCAAUACAUUUUACCUUUUCUUUUGUUUGGCAUAAAGUAGAAAUGAAAUCUCCUUUAUUAACCAAUUGAACA
rnacentral:misc_RNA from 1 species